rfam:Ictidomys tridecemlineatus contig023372, whole genome shotgun sequence.
GGGGAUAUAGCUCAGUUGGUAGAGUUUGUGCCUCACAGGCACAAGGCCCUGGGUUCAAUCCCCAGUACCGCCA